rnacentral:tRNA from 1 species
GAGACCCUAGUCCAAAUAAGACAACCGAUUUCGGCUCAGUUAAUUAUGGUUUAAACCCAUAGUGUCUCU